rnacentral:pre_miRNA from 1 species
GUUAAGGGGAUUGUUGUCUGGCUCGAGGUCUCCGGUUGCUUAAUUUCUUCCUCCAUCACUUGGAGGCUCGCCUUCCCGUGAGCACGGAACCUCGGACCAGGCUUCAAUCCCUUUAAC